rnacentral:lncRNA from 1 species
GCGAAGCUGAUGCAAAGGUUGGUCCUUUUGGCCGCCCUCCUCCUCCUCGUCGCGGCAGCUGGCCUCACCCCCGCCGCCGCCGCGGCGGACGGAGGAGCUGGAGGGGACCUUCCACUGGGCUGGAUCCCGUCCCUCUCCGGCUGCCGCGGCAGCAUCGCGGAGUGUCUCGCGGGCGAGGAGUUUGACCUGGGAUCCGAGGUGAGCCGCCGCUUCCUGGCCACCUCCAGCUACAUCAGCUACGGCGCACUCAAGAGCGACACCGUGCCCUGCUCCCGCCGCGGCGCCUCUUACUACAACUGCCGCCCCGGCGCCCAGGCCAACCCCUACUCUCGCAGCUGCUCCGCCAUCACCC